AGUGCUGGCAGCGAGGCUUCUUGGCCCCAUACGUCCAACCUUGCUGCUGGAGAGAUUGGGGUUUAUUUUUAACUGACUUACAUGAACGUGACCCCAUUUCCGAGGCCUGGCGCCUUUCUCCUCCUGUAAGUCUUCGCUCGAAUGUCACCUUGCGAGGGAAGUUGUUCCUGAUCACCCUGACUAUGUCCCCUACCGGUACUGUAUCCUCUGUCUCAACAAUCUGUUGGUUUCAUUCCUAACCCUUAAAGCAAAGUGUUUAUAUUUUUAUAUUUAUGUAUUUGUUGUCUGCCUCCCCUACUGGACUAUCAAAUCUUCUAGGAUAGGGCUUGAGUCUGUCUUAAUCACUAUUGAUGAGCAGCAGGUGCUUAGCACAGUAUUUGGUGUACCUGUGGAAGUGCCCAAAUGUUUGUUGAAUGACUGAGUAACCUUCCCCAUAUAAUAAAAAAAAAAAAAAAAAUUAGUUGGAAUUGGCCGGGCGCGGUGGCUCACGCCUGUAAUCCCAGCACUUUGGGAGGCUGAGGGUGGAUCACAAGGUCAGGAGUUCCAGACCAGCCUGGCCAACAUGGUGAAACCCCUUCUCUACUGAAAAUACAAAAAUUAGCCGGGCGUGGUGGCGGGUGCCUGUAAUCCCAGCUGCUCCGGAGGCUGAGGCAGGAGAAUCGCUUGAACCUGGGAGGCGGAGGUUGCAGUGAGCCAAGAUCGCGCCAUUGCACUCCAGCCUGGACAACAGGGCGAGAGUCUGUCUCAAAAAAACAACAAAAAAAAUUAGUUGGAAUUAUUAUACCUAACACGGCCUAAAUUUUUCUAAGAAGAAAAAUCUGCAAAACAAAUGCUUGGCCAGCCUUAAGGAAUGAAUGGCCUUAGACUGAGUAAACCACACCAAGAUCACUCCUGGAAAAUGUUUUCAAGUGUCGAAGAUGGGAUGAUCGCCCAAAAGUUCUUACUGAAACCAA
rnacentral:lncRNA from 1 species